GAUCAUGGCUCAGGACGAACGCUGGCGGCGUGCUUCAUACAUGCAAGUCGAACGAGAAGCUGACUUCGGUCAGUGGAAAGUGGCGGACGGGUGAGUAAUAUGUAGAGAAUCUGCCUUUGAGUGGGGGACAACAGAGGGAAACUUCUGCUAAUACCCCAUAUGAGCUAACUUGAAAUAGUUAUCUUGAAAACUCCGGUGCUCAAGGAUGAGUCUGCAUCUGAUUAGCUAGUUGGCGGUGUAAUGGACCACCAAGGCGACGAUCAGUAGCUGGUUUGAGAGGAUGAUCAGCUACAAUGGGACUGAGACACGGCCCAUACUCCUACGGGAGGCAGCAGUAGGGAAUUUUGCGCAAUGGGCGAAAGCCCUGACGCAGCAACGCCGCGUGAACGAUUAAGCCCUUCGGGGUGUAAAGUUCUGUCAGUAGGGACGAAUUUUGACGGUACCUACAGAGGAAGCACCGGCUAACUCCGUGCCAGCAGCCGC
rnacentral:rRNA from 1 species